rnacentral:rRNA from 1 species
GGAUAACGUUUGGAAACGAACGCUAAUACCGCAUGAUAUUAUUGAGCUGCAUGGCUUGAUAAUCAAAGGAGCAAUCCGCUGAAAGAUGGGCUCGCGUCCGAUUAGGUAGUUGGCGGGGCAACGGCCCACCAAGCCGACGAUCGGUAGCCGGACUGAGAGGUUGAACGGCCACAUUGGGACUGAGACACGGCCCAGACUCCUACGGGAGGCAGCAGUGAGGGAUAUUGGUCAAUGGGGGAAACCCUGAACUAGCAACGCCGCGUGAGGGAAGACGGUUUUCGGAUUGUAAACCUCUGUCCUCUGUGAAGAUAAUGACGGUAGCAGAGGAGGAAGCUCCGGCUAACUACGUGCCAGCAGCCGCGGUAAUACGUAGGGAGCAAGCGUUGUCCGGAUUUACUGGGUGUAAAGGGUGCGUAGGCGGCUUUGCAAGUCAGAAGUGAAAUCCAUGGGCUUAACCCAUGAACUGCUUUUGAAACUGCAGAGCUUGAGUGGAGUAGAGGUAGGCGGAAUUCCCGGUGUAGCGGUGAAAUGCGUAGAGAUCGGGAGGAACACCAGUGGCGAAGGCGGCCUGCUGGGCUCUAACUGACGCUGAGGCACGAAAGCGUGGGUAGCAAACAGGAUUAGAUACCCUGGUAGUCCACGCUGUAAACGAUGAUUACUAGGUGUGGGUGGACUGACCCCAUCCGUGCCGGAG